UUCAUUUUAAAACACAGUAUUAUCAAAAGUCCAAAUCUCAAAACAAAUUUGUAGCGACCCAAGGGCCAGUUCUAGGGCAAAGAAUCAUCAUUACAUCCUCUGUUAUUUGGUAUCAUAUUCAACUCCAUAUACUCUCAUGCUCUUUGCCCCUGACUCAGGUGAACCGACAUAUCCUCAAUAAGUACUCCCUCCGUCCGGAAAUACUUGUCAUCAAAAUGGAUAAAAGAGGAUGUAUUUUAGUUCUUGAUACAUCCUCUUUUAUCCAUUUUGAUGACAAGUAUAUACAUCCUCUUUUAUCCAUUUUGAUGACAAGUAUUUCCGGACGGAGGGAGUACACUGCUAGGAUCAGAAAUGACAAGUAGGAUAAUCCAUACCUGCCCAUGCAUUACUGAGAGCCACACGCAUUACUCCCACUUGAAGGCUACAAUGCAGCAUGCAAGUCGGCAUGUAUCCA
rnacentral:lncRNA from 1 species